rnacentral:rRNA from 1 species
UACGGGGGGGGCAAGCGUUGUUCGGAAUUACUGGGCGUAAAGGGCUUGUAGGCGGCCGCUCAAGUCAGGCGUGAAAGCCCCGGGCUCAACCUGGGAGGUGCGCUUGGGACUGGGUGGCUGGAGUUCGGGAGAGGAGCGUGGAAUUCCCAGUGUAGAGGUGAAAUUCGUAGAUAUUGGGAAGAACACCGGUGGCGAAGGCGGCGCUCUGGACCGAGACUGACGCUGAGGCGCGAAAGCGUGGGGAGCAAACAGG